UAGGGAAUAUUAGAAAUGGACGAAAGUCUGAUCUAGCAACACCGCGUGUGCGAAGAAGGCCUUCGGGUUGUAAAGCACUUUUUGGAAGGAUUAGGAAGGAAUGUACUUCCAGAAUAAGUCUCGGCUAACUACGUGCCAGCAGCCGCGGUAACACGUAGGAGGCAAACGUUAUCCGGAUUUACUGGGCGUAAAGCGCGUGUAGGUGGUUCUGUAAGUAGGGCGUGAAAGCUCCUGGCUCAACUGGGAGAGGCCGUUCUAAACUGCAGAGCUAGAGGAUGGUAGAGGGAGGUGGAAUUGCGGGUGUAGCGGUGGAAUGCGCAGAGAUCCGGAGGAACACCAGUGGCGAAAGCGGCCUCCGGGACCACUCCUGACACUCAGACGCGAAAGCUAGGGUAGGAAACGGGGUUAGAGACGCUUGUAGUC
rnacentral:rRNA from 1 species